rnacentral:tRNA from 1 species
GGGCAUGUAGCUCAGCUGGAUAGAGCACUAGAUUCCGGUUCUAGGUGUCGGGGGUUCGAAUCCCUUCAUGCCCG